rnacentral:rRNA from 1 species
UACGGAGGGUGCAAACGUUGCUCGGAAUCAUUGGGCGUAAAGCGCACGUAGGCGGACUGAUAAGUCGGAUGUGAAAUCCCUCGGCUUAACCGAGGAAGUGCAUUCGAAACUGCCAGUCUUGAGUAUGGAAGAGGGUCGCGGAAUUCCCGGUGUAGAGGUGAAAUUCGUAGAUAUCGGGAGGAACACCAGUGGCGAAGGCGGCGACCUGGGCCAAUACUGACGCUGAGGUGCGAAAGCGUGGGGAGCAAACAGG